rnacentral:rRNA from 1 species
GAGUUUGAUCUUGGCUCAGGAUGAACGCUAGCGGCAGGCUUAAUACAUGCAAGUCGAGGGGCAGCAUGGCUGUAGCAAUACAGCUGAUGGCGACCGGCAAACGGGUGCGGAACACGUACAGAACCUUCCUCGGAGCGGGGGAUAGCCCAGAGAAAUUUGGAUUAAUACCCCAUAGUAUAACGGAGUGGCAUCGCUUUGUUAUUAAAGAUUUAUCACUUUGAGAUGGCUGUGCGUCUGAUUAGGUAGUUGGUGAGGUAAUGGCUCACCAAGCCGACGAUCAGUAACUGGUGUGAGAGCACGACCAGUCACACGGGUUACUGAGACACGGGCCCGACUCCUACGGGAGGCAGCAGUAAGGAAUAUUGGUCAAUGGACGCAAGUCUGAACCAGCCAUGCCGCGUGGAGGAUGAAGGUCCUCUGGAUUGUAAACUUCUUUUAUCUGGGACGAAAAAAGGGAAUUCUUUCUCGUCUGACGGUACCAGAUGAAUAAGCACCGGCUAACUCCGUG